rnacentral:lncRNA from 1 species
CGUCAGUUCAUAUUUUCUGUUCCUCAGAACUCAAAAUCUUCAAAAAUGAUCAGUUUAUAUUCUCAAGCUCAUUUAUCCACUGCUACCCUAAUCCUUAUCACUUGCAUAUGGUUUCCAUUUAAUCAAAUCAAGAGGGCAAUACUUAUCAUUUUUGGCCUUCUCUUCUUCGCAUUUUAUCGUAGGGAUAAUCACCAUCUUCAUCAAGAGCCAAUAAUUGUACUAGAUCUUCCCUUGUGCCAAUUUCAAGAUUUGGAUUUGAGCAAAAAUGGUGAUGAGGGCAUUGAAGAAGUAUGUUCUAUUUGCCUGAUGGAGUUUGAAAAGGAAGAUUUGGUGAAUAGACUCCCAAAUUGCAGGCACAUAUUUCACACGGAUUGCAUAGAGAAAUGGCUGGACAGAAAUCAAUUUACUUGCCCUAUGUGCAGGUCUUUGCUGCUGCAUGUCAAUGCUUCGCCAUGCAAUUCUCCACACCCCAUUAAUGCAUGCUAAUAUAUACAUAUUAGGCUGCAGGGCUUCACCCAUUUGUAUAUAAUUUAGCAUUUUCUGUUGAGUUCGACUAAUCUUUACAAACAAGUCAUAAGAGUUUAACUAGCCUAGCUCGAGUUGAAAAUUUGAGGCGUUUCAGUUGUUUCUGCUUUAUAUCAAUUCACUCUAAGUGAAUUGCUUACUCAAGUUGUGACACAUUCGAGAUAUUGAAUUGUACGAAAUUUUCGUGUCUAUAUAAG